rnacentral:rRNA from 1 species
UACGUAGGCAGCAAGCGUUGUUCGGAUUUACUGGGCGUAAAGAGCGCGCAGGCGGUCGAUCAAGUCGAGUGUGAAAGCCCCCGGCUCAACUGGGGAGGGUCAUUCGAUACUGAUCGACUCGAAGGCAGGAGAGGGUAGUGGAAUUCCCGGUGUAGUGGUGAAAUGCGUAGAUAUCGGGAGGAACACCAGUGGCGAAGGCGACUACCUGGCCUGUUCUUGACGCUGAGGCGCGAAAGCUAGGGGAGCAAACGGG